CCUGCUCAGCUGGGUCCCCUAUGAUGUCACACAAAAUGCCCUGCACAGAAUGUAUGGUGCCUGCUAGACAGAGGCUGGCUCAGGGGGAUUACAGGAACAGCCACCCAGAGCAUGUGGUAUCAAGUAAGACAAAAGCCAAGAAGAAACAUCUUCAGACAUUGGAGGCUCAGACUUCUCUUCUUUUGAAAGGGCCAACACCAAGACUCAAGAUAUCCCCUACCCUGGCCCACUAAGUCCUAGCUUGCCACAGAGAACCUGCUGCACAAGGUACAUGACACCAUGGGGAUGCUCAACACUGCCCAGCAAACAAUGUCAGUCUUCUCUCCAAACAUCAGAUCUAUAUCUACCAGGAUAUGGGUGAUGAAUGCAGUAUUGAUCCAUUCUGCACAUACAAUACAGAUGCUGUACUCAGAACACAAGACCCGGAGAGCUGUCGAUAUUUAAGAGGAGCUUUCACGGAAGAAAGGCUGUGGUGACCUUCAGAGGUCCUUACUCUCUGACUGUCUGCAGGAACAAGUUAAUCAGGAGAUGAAGCUCUUGUAUCUAAGCCAGGCUUGGGAUGGGGCUGUGCAGUCUGAGUGAAAGAAAGGAGUUCUCAUUCUAUCCCUAUAAAUACAUUCAAAGCUGGAAUUUGCUAAUUGCAGCAUUCUGUGAGCUGGAAUUAAUAUAAACAAUAAAUAUAAAAUAGAACCCAU